rnacentral:rRNA from 1 species
UACGAAGGGGCUAGCGUUGCUCGGAUUUACUGGGCGUAAAGGGCGCGUAGGCGGACAGUUAAGUUGGGGUGAAGCCCGGGCUCAACCUCGGAAUUGCCUCAAUACUGGCUGUCUUGAGUGUGAGAGAGGUGUGUGGACUCCGGAGUGUAGAGGUGAAAUUCGUAGAUAUAUGGAAGAACACCAGUGGCGAAGGCGGAGCUCUCUGGUCUGCAACUGACGCUGAGGCUCGAAAGCGUGGGUAGCAAACAGG